GAAGAGUGGCGGACGGGUGAGUAACACGUGGGUAACCGUACCUACAAGCGGGGGAGUAACAUUCGGAAACGGAUGCUAAUACCGCAUAGAUCUUUUUGUCUCCUGGCAGAAAGAAGAAAGACGGUUUCGGCUGUCACUUGUAGAUGGACCCGCGGCGCAUUAGUUAGUUGGUGAGGUAAUGGCUCACCAAGACGAUGAUGCGUAGCCGACCUGAGAGGGUGAUCGGCCACACUGGGACUGAGACACGGCCCAGACUCCUACGGGAGGGCAGCAGUAGGGAAGUCUUCCGCAAUGGACGAAAGUCUGACGGAGCAACGCCGCGUGAGUGAAAAGAAGGUUUUCGGUAUCGUAAAACUCUGUUGUUAGAGAAGAACAAGGAUGAGAGUAACUGCUCGUCCCUUGACGGUAUCUAACCAGAAAGCCAUGGCUAACUACGUGCCAGCCGCCGC
rnacentral:rRNA from 1 species